rnacentral:rRNA from 1 species
UUAAUUAUAUAAGUUUUGUGAAUUGUUGGAAUUUAGUAGGCUUGUAAUCAGCCAUCAUUUAUUUCGUUAUAGAAUAUUUUCUGAUUGUAUUUAUUUAAUUUUCUUUAUUUUUUUACUUGAAUAAUCUAAUUAAUUAAUAUUUUUAUGUUAUAAUGAUUGAAUUAGUAUUUUAGUUAAUUAAAUUAUAGGAACUCGGCAAAUUUAGUGUUCGCCUGUUUAACAAAAACAUGUCCUUUUGUUUAUUUAUUUAAGGUCUGACCUGCCCAAUGAGGAAUUCAAUGGCCGCAGUAUUUUAACUGUGCUAAGGUAGCAUAAUCAUUUGUCUUUUAAUUGAGGGCUGGAAUGAAAGGUUGGACGAGAUAUAGACUUUCUUUAAUUUAGUUUUAAGAAUUUAAUUUUUGAGUUAAAAAGCUUAAAUUUGUUUGUUGGACGAGAAGACCCUAUAGAUCUUUAUAAUUUUAUAUUUUAAUAAUUUGGUGGUUAUGUUUAUUAUAAGUAGAAUAAUUAUUUGGUUGGGGUGACUGUAGAAUUUUAUUAACUUCUAUUGUUUAGAUUUCAUUAAUUGGUGUUUUUUUGAUCCAUAUUUUUAUGAUUAAAAGAUUAAGUUACCUUAGGGAUAACAGCGUAAUUUUUUCGGAGAGUUCAUAUUGAUGAAGAAGUUUGCGACCUCGAUGUUGGAUUAAAAUAAGCUUAUGGAUGCAGGAGUA